GCCGAUCAGCGCCGUCCCGGUCCGCGACGCGGACGCUGCCAAGGUCCGGGUCGGCACCUGCAUCGACGUCCCCUACUUCCCUGCAUCGGCUUGAUCAGGCGACGAGGACAACCGGCGUUGGACCUCCACAGGUACACCUAGCCCGCCACCGCCCUUCCCAAACCCGUGAUGUCGAGUCUCCGUUGCCGUCGUCCCCGCCGGCUCCUGCUUCCUCUCACUCUCCCUCCUGCCUCGUGGUUCUUGUUCCAUGUGCUCUGUUCUUGUAUCAAGUUCUGCUUCUGUACAGUGGAUACGAAUAUGCUUCCAUGUGCCAUAUCUUCGAUGCCAGCAGCGGCCACGAACCCGGCCACCUCCCUGGGAGGCUCGACUGACACCGGCGCUCCGACCUUGCCUCCACGACCAUGUAAGUCGUCCCUUUGCAUGGGAUGAUGCUGUGUUUCAAUUGGCUCCGAUUCCCUUCAUCUUCGAUCACCGUGAAGCCACCAGUCAAGCUCAUCUGUUGUUUCCUUUCCGCUUGGUGGCCUGUGCCCUUGAACUGCUCGAUGAAAUGCCCCAAGGGCCCUGUUACCUGAUUUUGCAUUGGUUCACUGCAUCUGCAUGGUUUCAGGCUUAACAUACUGUCAGUCGCAAGGAGAGAAAGCACAAGAUGGCUUGAGAAAGAUGAUAGAGCCAGGGAUAGUGCGGGCAGCCUGCUGGAUCUUGGCACUGCCUCUGUCGCCCCCUUUUGCUGCUCUUCAUGUGCAUGAACGAUCCACCUGCUAUGCCAGUUCAAGACUUGCCACUGGUGCUAAUUUGGUUGAUUCCACAUGACCACAUUAGAAAAAUGAGGGAGUCAGCAAAACUCAUGAUUUUGAGGACAAGAAACCAAUGGUGAAGUUCGUCAUGAUUCAAGGCAGUGCACUUGGUGAUGGGUUGCCUGAUGGUUUGCCUCAACCUCCAUUCUUUUGUGGUGCUGCUCGUGCCUCCACAACUUCUCGUAGUCUCCACUGGUCGCUAGAGGAGAGGACACAAAAGGGUACAUGAGGGUGAGGGCGGUGAGCCACUGCUCGCUGCGCGUGCCAUUGCCGAGAUAUGCAAGAGUGCAUUGCAGUGCGACGCAUGGUUUACACUGCAUGAGGCCAUUCAGGCACUUCAUUUAUGCAGGACCUAUAACUGUAAACAGUAUGCUGGAUCUGCCUGCGAUGAGCUGAAGCAUGUCAGGCAAGCAGUUGCCCCCUUGAUACUUGAUGAUAGACAGAAUCCUGAUACUUCUUGUUUGGAUCAGUAUGGCUUCCUAAUCUUUUUCUCAUAUAGUCAUAGCUAUGUGCAACUCUCAGUCUCAUUAAAUUUAUAUCAUCAAAUCCUGCUUUUGCCUUCUAUACUGAGAACAUGGCAUUCUUUAGUAGAGCCAAUGUGCGCUUAAAUUUAUAACAGUCUUGAUCACAUUAAUAGUUUGCUUGCUUUUUUGCUCGUAAUGGUUCAUUCUGAGCUUUACUACAAGCAUUGCCAUGAAAUUUUGCCCAAUAUCUUCAGUACUAGAUAUUAUGUUCUUUGAUUUGCUUUCUUGUUCACUUAAAAAACAUAUGGUUUAUACUUCUUCGGCUACAAAGGCUCUAUUUGUAAUAUUACAGAUAAUUUAUAUUAUGAGUAAAGUUUAAUUAUUUUUAAUGCUUGUGUAAACUUAGGAAUCCGAAGGGGAUUCACUAUAGGCAGAUACUUCUAGAACCAUGUUCCAUUCCUUCAUGAAAUCAUGAUGUUGAAUAAUUGAAUAGACAAUCAAAUGACAAACUUACAGUGCUCAUUUAUGAAUUCAGGAUUCAUCUAGGGAACCUUUUAUUUGCUUUCCUGUAGCUCAUUUGGAACUGCAUUUAUUUUUCCUAUUCCUAUUGCAGGUGCAGACGCUUUUGGUAGAGAUUUAUCCAUUUGCAUAUUAGAUAUGGUGUGCCUAUUAAGACCUAAAACUUUAAGUCAUGAAGCACAAGGUUUAGAAUAAAUUCUCAACUGCAUAAUGAAUAUUAGUGCCCUACAAUUUAAUGUACCAUACUUAGGUCGUCAGCACUAAUAAAAACUUUUGAAAUACUGUUGUCCCAGUAAUAUUGUCACCACUUCGAGGUAUUAGAAUAUGUACUAAUUACUGGUGGAGAUGUUGCAUCAUUGGGACCACAAGUAGUCACCAAGACCCUCAGUUGCGCCAAAUUUUUUAAUUGGCCAAUCGGUCAUAUGGUUCUGUUUAUAUCAGUUUAGAAGAAAUAUUUUUGAAUUGAGCAUCUAAGGAAUGAAUUGUUGCCAAGAAUCAGUCACUGGGAGCAGUAGAUGGUGAUAUGCCUGAUAGCCAUUAGCCCAUUACAAAUAUGCUUUAAGUAGUCAACUUGAAUUUAAUUGCCAAAAUCUCUUGGUAGUUUGUUUUGUGUUUUCAAAAUUACUGCGAUUGGUGCCACAAACACUUGCUUCAUGUGUGAUUACAGUACCUGAUAGCUAUGCUUUAAGCCUGACGACAAUGCCAACAGGGGGAGAUCACCAAUGUCAUGGAGUACCAGCUACCAGGCCAUCGAGAAGCAAAAGCUUAUAAAUAUUAUUAUCUACGACUAUUACGUGUCCGACCCCGAGGACGAGUGGACGCUGCAGGUGAACAGGGAGGCAUGUGAGCUCCAUCUCCUUCACUGCCUUUGCUACUAUAUCAUGUAUAUAUUCCUAUGCUUCAGCGGGUGUAGGAGCAGCAGUUCAUGAGAUAAGGUGACUGAGCCAGUUAAAUUAGAAGGGGGUGGGGAAAAGGGCCAUUAGUAGUUAUGUUCAUUGAUCAGUUCCUUUUGUUACUAUAAAAUCUUACUUAUCUAUUUAGGGUGGAAUUGUACAAGUUUAUUUAUUUGGAGAACAUGUUUGUGAUUUUUUUUUGAAAAAUGUUAACUUUAUAAUUGAGACUAUUGAAGUAAUUCUCCUUGGCAUUGAA